rnacentral:rRNA from 1 species
GAUGAACGCUGGCGGCGUGCCUAAUACAUGCAAGUCGAGCGAACGGACGAGAAGCUUGCUUCUCUGAUGUUAGCGGCGGACGGGUGAGUAACACGUGGAUAACCUACCUAUAAGACUGGGAUAACUUCGGGAAACCGUAGCUAAUACCGGAUAAUAUUUUGAACCGCAUGGUUCAAAAGUGAAAGACGGUUUUGCUGUCACUUAUAGAUGGAUCCGCCCUGCAUUAGCUAGUUGGUAAGGUAACGGCUUACCAAGGCAACGAUGCAUAGCCGACCUGAGAGGGUGAUCGGCCACACUGGAACUGAGACACGGUCCAGACUCCUACGGGAGGCAGCAGUAGGGAAUCUUCCGCAAUGGGCGAAAGCCUGACGGAGCAACGCCGCGUGAGUGAUGAAGGUCUUCGGAUCGUAAAACUCUGUUAUUAGGGAAGAACAUAUGUGUAAGUAACUGUGCACAUCUUGACGGUACCUAAUCAGAAAGCCACGGCUAACUACGUG